UACGUAGGGUGCGAGCGUUAAUCGGAAUUACUGGGCGUAAAGCGUGCGCAGGCGGUUGUGCAAGACAGAUGUGAAAUCCCCGGGCUUAACCUGGGAACUGCAUUUGUGACUGCACAGCUAGAGUGUGUCAGAGGGGGGUAGAAUUCCACGUGUAGCAGUGAAAUGCGUAGAUAUGUGGAGGAAUACCGAUGGCGAAGGCAGCCCCCUGGGAUAACACUGACGCUCAUGCACGAAAGCGUGGGGAGCAAACAGG
rnacentral:rRNA from 1 species